AACGAACGCUGGCGGCAUGCCUAACACAUGCAAGUCGAACGAGACCUUCGGGUCUAGUGGCGCACGGGUGCGUAACGCGUGGGAACCUGCCCUUAGGUUCGGAAUAACUCCCCGAAGGGGGUGCUAAUACCGGAUAAUGUCUUCGGACCAAAGAUUUAUCGCCGUGGGAUGGGCCCGCGUUGGCUUAGCUAGUUGGUAGUGUAAAAGCCUACCAAGGCGACGAUCCAUAGCUGGUCUGAGAGGAUGAUCCUCCACACUGGGACUGAGACACGGCCCAGACUCGUACGGGAGGGAGCAGUGGGGAAUAUUGGACAAUGGGCGAAAGCCUGAUCCAGCAAUGCCGCGUGAGUGAUGAAGGCCGUAGGGUUGUAAAGCUCUUUUACCCGGGAUGAUAAUGACAGUACCGGGAGAAUAAGCUCCGGCUAACUACGUG
rnacentral:rRNA from 1 species